GCCAGGCACACUGGAGCAUGCCUGUAAUCCCAGCCGCUCAGGAGGCUGAGGCAGGAGGAUCACAAGGUGGAGGCCAGCCUCAU
rnacentral:sRNA from 1 species